rnacentral:rRNA from 1 species
AUUGGAUGGCUUAGUGAGGUCUCCGGAUUGGCUUUGGGGAGCCGGCGACGGCACCCUAUUGCUGAGAAGCUGAUCAAACUUGGUCAUUUAGAGGAAGUAAAAGUCGUAACAAGGUUUCCGUAGGUGAACCUGCGGAAGGAUCAUUAUUGAAUAAACUUGGUUGGGUUGCUGCUGGUUCUUCGGAACAUGUGCACACCUGGCGCCAUUUUUACCACCUGUGCACCUUUUGUAGACCUGGAUAUCUCUCGAGGAAACUCGGUUUGAGGACUGCUGUGCGCAAGCCAGCUUUCCUUACAUUUCCGGUCUAUGUUUUUAUAUACCCCAUCAGAAUGUAACAGAAUGUCAUUAAUAGGCCUUGGUGCCUUUAAAUAAAAUACAACUUUCAACAACGGAUCUCUUGGCUCUCGCAUCGAUGAAGAACGCAGCGAAAUGCGAUAAGUAAUGUGAAUUGCAGAAUUCAGUGAAUCAUCGAAUCUUUGAACGCACCUUGCGCUCCUUGGUAUUCCGAGGAGCAUGCCUGUUUGAGUGUCAUUAAAUUCUCAACCUUUCUGGCUUUUAUUAGUCGGUUAGGCUUGGAUGUGGGAGUUGCGGGCUUCUCAAAAGUCAGCUCUCCUUAAAUGCAUUAGCGAAACCUUUGUUGACCAUCUCUGGUGUGAUAAUUAUCUACGCCAUUGGGAAGCAGCUUUAAAAUCGGUUUAGCUUCUAACCGUCUUCUGGACAAUUCUUGACAUUUGACCUCAAAUCAGG